GGAUGUGAGGGCGAUUUGGCUGUGACAUCCAUCACCCCACUGAUCGCCAGGGUUGAUUCGGCUGAUCUGGCUGGCUAGGCAGGUGUCCUCUUCCUCCAUCACCGCUCCAUGUGCGUCCCUCUCCAAGCUGCGCACAGUGGAAGAGGUCGGCCUUCUGCAAAUAGAGGCAGAACGAUCUUCAGUCCAGGAUAUACGAGUAGCUGCGCUCCCCUGAUAGAACCUCCAUACAAGCUCUCAAGAAAGAACAUGCUAGGACAAUUUCUUUCUUUCUUUCUUU
rnacentral:snRNA from 1 species